AGUGUUUAUUUUAUUUAAGUUAUAAGCCGAGAAAGGUAUUUUUAUUUUAAUUUGUGCAGGGGUUAUUCAACCCUUCCUCUAGCCGGUCGCCAAGGGUCCUAACAAGUGGUAUCAGAACUAGGACGUUUCAGGAGAACUAACCGCCGAACGAAGCACACAGAAUGGCUGGACCAAGUAUCUGUCCACCAAAGUUCGAGGGGAGUUCGCAAGAUGGAAAAAGAAAAUGAAGGCAAGGAAGAAUACCAGUGGACGAAGAAGGAGCAGGCGGACUUCGUGGCAAUCUAUUGAGUGUCCUACUGCCACAAGAAGUCAACUGAAUCGGCGCUUACGACUCAGCAAACGAACUUUGGGAUAAGUUCCUUGAGCUACACGAAGGGGCGUUCGAAGCCAAGCUCGCGAGACGAGGUCUGCUAAGGAAUCAGUUAAGCAACGUAAAACUGGAAGCAGAAGAAACCGUUGCACAUCUUCACUCGAGAAUGAAGAAACUAAUCACCGGACUCACGAAUCUCGGAGAAAAUGUAAGCAACCGAGAUACGCUAAGAUCCGAAGAAGGAGCCGAAGCACAACAUUGCAUUUAAGGCAAG